GCUGGCUCACAGAGGCAGCUACCAUGCUUCCAGCUCCUGUGCAGUGCUCCUUGAGUGAGGCAGGAGGCUCACCCUGAUAAGCCAGGAGCCCAAUGCCUACAAGUCGGAACGAAACAGAGCAGGUGAUUUAAAGCUCAGCCACGCUCUGUAAGAAGCACUCUGCUGGAGCCACUUGGCCAUUGCUAAUCUAGAAAAGAACCAUAUGGGACACCACAUCCCAGCACAUCUGAAACACGCAGGAUAAGAGAAUGGUCCCU